CAGUAGCGUAUGCUAAAGUUGUUGCAGUUAAAAGGCUCGUAGUCGAACUUAUGAACCUGUGAACCUGGCCCAACCUCUAGUAGGUUGCGAGCUGGUGUGCACGGUUCAUUGUUUUGGAGAGCAUGGCUGCCCUUGAUUGGGUUGGUCUUGUGAUUCAAAUCAUUAACUGUGAGUAAAUCAAAGUGUUCAAAGCAGGCUUGAAUGCCUGAAUGGUUCAGCAUGGAAUAAUAAGAUAAGACUUGGGUUUUGUUUUGUUGGCUUACACGAACCAAAGUAAUGAUGAAAAGGGAUAGUUGGGGGUGCUAGUAUUCGGUGGUCAGCGGUGAAAUGCGAGGACCCAUUGAAGACUAACUUAUGCGAAAGCAUUCACCAAGGAUAUCUNCUUUG
rnacentral:rRNA from 1 species